rnacentral:rRNA from 1 species
UACGUAGGGGGCAAGCGUUAUCCGGAAUCAUUGGGCGUAAAGAGCGUGUAGGCGGCCCGAUAAGUCCGCCGUGAAAGUCCAGGGCUCAACCCUGGGAUGCCGGUGGAAACUGUCGGGCUAGAGUCCGGAAGAGGCGAGUGGAAUUCCUGGUGUAGCGGUGAAAUGCGCAGAUAUCAGGAGGAACACCAAUUGCGAAGGCAGCUCGCUGGGACGGUAUUGUCGCUGAGACGCGAAAGCGUGGGGAGCAAACAGG